UGUUCCCAUUUUCUUGUCUCUGCACAGGUAAUGCCUCAGGAUGCUCCAGUUAAUGAGGACUUGCUGAGUAAAUAGAACAAACCUCUGAAAGAAGAAGCUUAAUUCAAUUUUUCUCAAACAAAAGAAGAAAUGUUGGAGGUUUUAAAACCUGGGGGAUUGAGAGACACUUUCUUAUCACUGAGCUUCUUGGGCAGAGAAGAGUACAAAACCCAUGCUUCUUAGAGAAUGGAAAGGAAACAAUGCACAAAAAGAGGGAAACAAGACAUCAUGGGAUGCACUUGGCAAAGCAUUACUUGUCCCCAGCAGCUGUGUGCAAUUGUACUAAAGAUGCUAUCAGCUUCAUAAAAAAAAAUAAUAGACAUUUUUCCUUGUUGCCAGCUGAAAUUCGCUUAUGGGGAAAGUAACUGAAAGAAACUGACAAUAGCAGCCAUUUAGCACAGAUGAGCAGAUUUGUAGGAGACAGAGUUUUGGCACACUGGACAUCUCACCAUCAGUCAUCUGGAAAAUUGUUGCCAGCUGGUAAAAGACUUUAUCCCAAUUGGGGUUUUGUUGGCUUUUUUUUGGGUGUGGU